rnacentral:rRNA from 1 species
GGGUUGUGAGGUUAAGCGACUAAGCGUACACGGUGGAUGCCCUGGCAGUCAGAGGCGAUGAAGGACGUGCUAAUCUGCGAAAAGCGUCGGUAAGGUGAUAUGAACCGUUAUAACCGGCGAUGUCCGAAUGGGGAAACCCAGUGUGAUUCGUCACACUAUCGUUAACUGAAUACAUAGGUUAACGAGGCGAACCGGGGGAACUGAAACAUCUAAGUACCCCGAGGAAAAGAAAUCAACCGAGAUUCCCCCAGUAGCGGCGAGCGAACGGGGAGCAGCCCAGAGUCUGAAUCAGCUUGUGUGUUAGUGGAACGGUCUGGAAAGUCCGACGGUACAGGGUGAUAGUCCCGUACACCAAAAUGCACAGGCUGUGAACUCGAAGAGUAGGGCGGGACACGUGGUAUCCUGUCUGAAUAUGGGGGGACCAUCCUCCAAGGCUAAAUACUCCUGACUGACCGAUAGUGAACCAGUACCGUGAGGGAAAGGCGAAAAGAACCCCGGCGAGGGGAGUGAAAAAGAACCUGAAACCGUGUACGUACAAGCAGUGGGAGCACCUUCGGGUGUGACUGCGUACCUUUUGUAUAAUGGGUCAGCGACUUAUAUUCUGUAGCAAGGUUAACCGUAUAGGGGAGCCGCAGGGAAACCGAGUCUUAACUGGGCGUUAAGUUGCAGGGUAUAGACCCGAAACCCGGUGAUCUAGCCAUGGGCAGGUUGAAGGUUGGGUAACACUAACUGGAGGACCGAACCGACUAAUGUUGAAAAAUUAGCGGAUGACUUGUGGCUGGGGGUGAAAGGCCAAUCAAACCGGGAGAUAGCUGGUUCUCCCCGAAAGCUAUUUAGGUAGCGCCUCGUGAAUUCAUCUUCGGGGGUAGAGCACUGUUUCGGCUAGGGGGUCAUCCCGACUUACCAACCCGAUGCAAACUACGAAUACCGAAGAAUGUUAUCACGGGAGACACACGGCGGGUGCUAACGUCCGUCGUGAAGAGGGAAACAACCCAGACCGCCAGCUAAGGUCCCAAAGUCAUGGUUAAGUGGGAAACGAUGUGGGAAGGCACAGACAGCCAGGAUGUUGGCUUAGAAGCAGCCAUCAUUUAAAGAAAGCGUAAUAGCUCACUGGUCGAGUCGGCCUGCGCGGAAGAUGUAACGGGGCUAAACCAUGCACCGAAGCUGCGGCAGCGACACUAUGUGUUGUUGGGUAGGGGAGCGUUCUGUAAGCCUGCGAAGGUGACCUGUGAGGGUUGCUGGAGGUAUCAGAAGUGCGAAUGCUGACAUAAGUAACGAUAAAGCGGGUGAAAAGCCCGCUCGCCGGAAGACCAAGGGUUCCUGUCCAACGUUAAUCGGGGCAGGGUGAGUCGACCCCUAAGGCGAGGCCGAAAGGCGUAGUCGAUGGGAAACAGGUUAAUAUUCCUGUACUUGGUGUUACUGCGAAGGGGGGACGGAGAAGGCUAUGUUAGCCGGGCGACGGUUGUCCCGGUUUAAGCAUGUAGGCUGGUUGUCCAGGCAAAUCCGGAUAAUCAAGGCUGAGGUGUGAUGACGAGGCACUACGGUGCUGAAGUAACAAAUGCCCUGCUUCCAGGAAAAGCCUCUAAGCAUCAGGUAACAUCAAAUCGUACCCCAAACCGACACAGGUGGUCAGGUAGAGAAUACCAAGGCGCUUGAGAGAACUCGGGUGAAGGAACUAGGCAAAAUGGUGCCGUAACUUCGGGAGAAGGCACGCUGGUGUGUAGGUGAAGUCCCUGCGGAUG